rnacentral:rRNA from 1 species
AAGAAGAUACUAAGGGCGCACGGCGGAUGCCUUGGCACAGGAAGUCGAAGAAGGACGCGGCAAGCUGCGAUAAGCUCCGGGGAGGCGCAAACGGCCUUCGAUCCGGAGAUCUCCGAAUGGGGGAACCCAGCAGGGGUCAUGCCCUGCUACCCGCGCCUGAAUGAAAUAGGGCGCGAGGAGGCAACCCGGGGAACUGAAACAUCUAAGUACCCGGAGGAAGAGAAAUCAACCGAGAUUGCGGGAGUAGCGGCGAGCGAAACCGCACCAGCCCAAACCCAUGCACGUGCAAGCUUGAGGGCGUUGCUGCAUGAGGGGUUGUGGGACCGCGCAUUCCAUGGGCCUCAGACCAUGGACGCAGUUACAAAUCCGCGCGGAAGCGGAACGGCCUGGGAAGGCCGGCGGAACAGGGUGAGAGCCCCGUACGCGAAUCCGCGCGGACUGCGAGUGCGGCGCCCGAGUAGCGCCGGGCACGUGAAACCCGGUGCGAACCUGGGGGGACCACCCUCCAAGGCUGAACACUCUCCUGUGACCGAUAGCGAACCAGUACCGUGAGGGAAAGGUGAAAAGCACCCCGAGAGGGGAGUGAAACAGUACCUGAAACCGUGCGCCUACAAGCAGUCGGAGCCCCCUAAGCGGGGUGACGGCGUGCCUUUUGUAGAAUGAGCCAGCGAGUUGCGGUAUGCGGCGAGGUUAAGGUUUGAACCGAGCCGCAGUGAAAGCGAGCCUUUAAGAUGGCGAUAGAGUCGCAUGCUGCAGACGCGAAGCCGGGUGAGCUAUCCAUGGGCAGGCUGAAGCGGGGGUAAGACCCCGUGGAGGGCCGAACCCACUUCGGUUGAAAACGGAGGGGAUGACCCGUGGAUAGGGGUGAAAGGCCAAUCAAACCCGGAGAUAUCUCGUUCUCCCCGAAAUAGCUUUAGGGCUAGCCUCGGCCGUUCUCCGACGGCGGUAGAGCACUGGAUCGUCGAGGGGGCUUCACCGCCUACCGACACGAACCAAACUCCGAAUGCCGCCGGAUCAGAGGCCGGGAGUCAGAACAUGUGGGCUAAGCUGUGUGUUCGAGAGGGAAACAGCCCAGACCGCCCGCUAAGGUCCCCAAAUCCAUGCUGAGUGGCAAAGGAUGUGCGUUUGCCUAGACAACCAGGAUGUUGGCUUAGAAGCAGCCAUGCAUUUAAAGAGUGCGUAACAGCUCACUGGUCAAGUGGACAUGCGCCGACAAUUCACGGGGCUAAGCAUGGUACCGAAGCGGCGGACUAAUCUAUAUUAGUGGUAGGGGAGCUUUCCCCGCAGCGGAGAAGCCGAGAGGGCGACCCUCGGUGGAGCGCGGGGAAGUGAGAAUGCUGGCAUGAGUAACGAGAGCGGCGCGAGAAACGCCGCCGCCGUAAGCCUAAGGGUUCCUGGGCAAGGCUAAUCCUCCCAGGGUCAGUCGGGAGCUAAGGCGAGGCCGAGAGGCGUAGCCGAUGCGCAACAGGCGGACAUUCCUGUACCGCCUGCGGACCGCUAUCACCGACGGGGUGACGGAGAAGGGUAGCCGAGCGGGGUUCUGGACGUCCCCGUGAAAGCGCGUAGGGCGCGGAGCAUGGAAAUCAGCUCCGCAGAAAGCCUGAGACGCGAGACGAAAGCUUAUGCUGAAGUCGGCGAGCCCAUGCUUCCGAGAAAAACCUCUAGGAAGGGACGCAGGCGCCCGUACCAAAACCGACACAGGUGGGCAGGUAGAGCAUACCGAGGCGAUCGGGAGAACCAUGGUUAAGGAACUCGGCAUACUGACUCCGUAACUUCGGGAGAAGGAGUGCCCCUGGCGGUGACGGGACUUGCUCCCCGAGCGGCCGGGGGUCGCAGCGAAACGGCCCAAGCGACUGUUUAUCAAAAACACAGGACUCUGCAAAGCCGUAAGGCGACGUAUAGGGUCUGACGCCUGCCCGGUGCUGGAAGGUUACGCGGAUGGGUCAGCCG